UGGGGAAUAUUGCACAAUGGGCGCAAGCCUGAUGCAGCCAUGCCGCGUGUGUGAAGAAGGCCUUCGGGUUGUAAAGCACUUUCAGCGGGGAGGAAGGCGGUGAGGUUAAUAACCUCAUCGAUUGACGUUACCCGCAGAAGAAGCACCGGCUAACUCCGUGCCAGCAGCCGCGGUAAUACGGAGGGUGCAAGCGUUAAUCGGAAUUACUGGGCGUAAAGCGCACGCAGGCGGUCUGUCAAGUCGGAUGUGAAAUCCCCGGGCUCAACCUGGGAACUGCAUUCGAAACUGGCAGGCUAGAGUCUUGUAGAGGGGGGUAGAAUUCCAGGUGUAGCGGUGAAAUGCGUAGAGAUCUGGAGGAAUACCGGUGGCGAAGGCGGCCCCCUGGACAAAGACUGACGCUCAGGUGCGAAAGAGUGGGGAGCAAACAGG
rnacentral:rRNA from 1 species